UGGGGAAUAUUGGGCAAUGGGGGAAACCCUGACCCAGCGACGCCGCGUGAGGGAAGAAGGUUUUCGGAUUGUAAACCUCUGUCCUUGGCGACGAUAAUGACGGUAGCCAAGGAGGAAGCCACGGCUAACUACGUGCCAGCAGCCGCGGUAAUACGUAGGUGGCGAGCGUUGUCCGGAAUUACUGGGUGUAAAGGGAGCGUAGGCGGGAGAGCAAGUCGACUGUGAAAGCUAUGGGCUUAACCCAUAGAUGCGUCGAAACUGUUCAUCUUGAGUGAAGUAGAGGCAGGCGGAAUUCCUAGUGUAGCGGUGAAAUGCGUAAAUAUUAGGAGGAACACCAGUGGCGAAGGCGGCCUGCUGGGCUUUAACUGACGCUGAGGCUCGAAAGCGUGGGUAGCAAACAGGAUUAGAUACCC
rnacentral:rRNA from 1 species